rnacentral:rRNA from 1 species
AUUGAACGCUGGCGGCAUGCCUUACACAUGCAAGUCGAACGGUAACAGGUCUUCGGAUGCUGACGAGUGGCGAACGGGUGAGUAAUACAUCGGAACGUGCCUAGUAGUGGUGGAUAACUACUCGAAAGAGAGGCUAAUACCGCAUGAGAUCUACGGAUGAAAGCAGGGGAUCGCAGGACCUUGUGCUACUAGAGCGGCCGAUGGCAGAUUAGGUAGUUGGUGGGAUAAAAGCUUACCAAGCCGACGAUCUGUAGCUGGUCUGAGAGGACGAUCAGCAACACUGGAACUGGGAAACGGCCCAGACUCCUACGGGAGGCAGCAGUGGGGAAUUUUGGACAAUGGGCGAAAGCCUGAUUCAGCAAUGCCGCGUGCAGGAUGAAGGCCUUCGGGUUGUAAACUGCUUUUGUACGGAACGAAAAGCCCCGGGUUAAUACCCUGGGGUCAUGACGGUACCGUAAGAGUAAGCACCGGCUAACUACGUGCCAGCAGCCGCCGUAA